AGCGGCGAACGGGUGAGUAAUGUAUCGGAACGUACCCAGUCGUGGGGGAUAACUAUCCGAAAGGAUAGCUAAUACCGCAUACGUCCUGAGGGAGAAAGCGGGGGACCGUAAGGCCUCGCGCGAUUGGAGCGGCCGAUAUCGGAUUAGCUAGUUGGUGAGGUAAAGGCUCACCAAGGCGACGAUCCGUAGCUGGUCUGAGAGGACGACCAGCCACACUGGAACUGAGACACGGUCCAGACUCCUACGGGAGGCAGCAGUGGGGAAUUUUGGACAAUGGGGGCAACCCUGAUCCAGCCAUUCCGCGUGAGUGAAGAAGGCCUUCGGGUUGUAAAGCUCUUUCAGCAGGAACGAAACGGUGGUCCCUAAUACGGGCUACUAAUGACGGUACCUGAAGAAGAAGCACCGGCUAACUACGUGCCAGCAGCCGCGGUAAUACGUAGGGUGCGAGCGUUAAUCGGAAUUACUGGGCGUAAAGCGUGCGCAGGCGGUUAUAUAAGACAGAUGUGAAAUCCCCGGGCUUAACCUGGGAACUGCGUUUGUGACUGUAUAACUCGAGUGUGGCAGAGGGGGGUGGAAUUCCACGUGUAGCAGUGAAAUGCGUAGAGAU
rnacentral:rRNA from 1 species